rnacentral:rRNA from 1 species
AGUGAACGCUGGCGGUAGGCCUAACACAUGCAAGUCGAACGGCAGCACAGUAAGAGCUUGCUCUUACGGGUGGCGAGUGGCGGACGGGUGAGGAAUACAUCGGAAUCUACUUUUUCGGGGGGGAUAACGUAGGGAAACUUACGCUAAUACCGCAUACGACCUACGGGUGAAAGCAGGGGAUCUUCGGACCUUGCGCGAUUGAAUGAGCCGAUGUCGGAUUAGCUAGUUGGCGGGGUAAAGGCCCACCAAGGCGACGAUCCGUAGCUGGUCUGAGAGGAUGAUCAGCCACACUGGAACUGAGACGCGGUCCAGACUCCUACGGGAGGCAGCAGUGGGGAAUAUUGGACAAUGGGCGCAAGCCUGAUCCAGCCAUACCGCGUGGGUGAAGAAGGCCUUCGGGUUGUAAAGCCCUUUUGUUGGGAAAGAAAAGCAGCAGGUUAAUACCCCGCUGUUCUGACGGUACCCAAAGAAUAAGCACCGGCUAACUUCGUG